UGGGGAAUAUUGGACAAUGGGCGGAAGCCUGAUCCAGCAACGCCGCGUGAGGGAUGACGGCCUUCGGGUUGUAAACCUCUUUCACCACCGACGAAGCGCAAGUGACGGUAGGUGGGGAAGAAGCACCGGCCAACUACGUGCCAGCAGCCGCGGUAAUACGUAGGGUGCGAGCGUUGUCCGGAAUUAUUGGGCGUAAAGGGCUCGUAGGCGGUUUGUCGCGUCGGGAGUGAAAACCUCGGGCUAACUCGGGCUUGCUUUCGAUACGGGCAGACUGGAGGGUAUGCAGGGGAGAACGGAAUUCCUGGUGUAGCGGUGAAAUGCGCAGAUAUCAGGAGGAAC
rnacentral:rRNA from 1 species